AGUUCAUAUAUGAUGCACAAUAUUCAUACAAAUCAUGGUGAUCAAGAAAAAUUAAAGUAUCAACCAAAGAAGGUCAUUUGAAACCCUAAAACAAUCCUAAAAAGGUACCAACUUUAGACAAGUAUAAGUAUGUGAAAAAUAAAUCAGUUAUGGAAUUUCACUUUUUACCAUCAUAAAAUAGACAAAAUUAUGAACACAUAGCAAAAAGAGUGGCUCAAAAAGGCUUAGGGAUCAUCAAGUUAUGAGCCUUUAAAGUUAUGAAAAAUAACAAAAAUAAAUAGGGAAAAAAAUAAUGAAUAAAAAUGGGUCUGCGGUGAGAGGGAUUCAAACCCGAGACCUCUUGCACACACACACUCUAACCGCUGGGGAGGUGAUAUAUCCAUUAACUUAUUUACAAACAUUAAUAUAUAUAAUAAAACGAUUCCAGAAACUGGAAAAUGACACUAAC
rnacentral:lncRNA from 1 species